ACUAUAUGGGAGUUCCCAUUGUGGCUCAGUGAUAAUGACCCCAACUAGUAUCCAUGAAGAUGCAGGUUCAAUCCCUGGCCUCACUCAGUGGGUUAAGGAUCCUGCAUUGCUGCCAGCUAUGGUGCAGGUCACAGACAUGGCUCAGAUCUGGAGUUGCUGUGGCUGUGGUGUAGGCUGGCAGAGCAGCUCUGAUUUGACCCCUAGCCUGGGAAUUUCCAUAUGCCACAUGUGCAGCCCUAAAAAGCAAAAUAAUGAUAAUAAUAUAAUAUACCUCAUCACCUAACCCCCAAGGUGAUGGACCUUAAGGAGGUGAUAAGGUCAUGAGGGUGGAGCCCCCACAAAAUGGAGUCAGGGUCCUUAUUAAAGAGACCCUAGAGAGCUCCUUUGCCCCUUCCUCCUUGUAAGGACACAGGAGAAGACCAGGACGUGAUCAUCCUGACACCCUGAUCUCAGACUUCUGGCCUCCAGAACUGCAGGAAACACUUUUCUGUUCUUUGGGCCCCCAGCCUAGUGUUUUGUCAUGGCAGCCCAAGCAGACUAAGACAGUGUCCUUCUGGGUCUGGCUUCCCACUAAGCAUCAUGUUUUCAAGGUCCAUCCAGGUUGCAGCAAGUAUCCCUCCUUUUCAUGGCCAAGUCAUAAUCCAUUGUGUGGAUGGACUACAUUGUGGGAAUCUCUUCUCUGUUCACCUGUUGAUUGUCAUUGGGUAGUUUCCACUUUUGGCUAUUGUGAAUCAUUCUGUUAUGAACAUGCAUGUGCAAGGGUUUGUGUGAACAUGUGUUUUUCUUUCUCUUGGGUUUAUACAUAGUAGUGGAUCUGCUGAAUUAUGUGGUGACUCCAUGUUUGACAUUUUGAGGAACCGCCAGGCAGUUUUCCAAAAUGGCAAUGCCAUUUCACAUUCCCACCAGCACUGCUGAAAGUUCCCAUUUCAAUUUCUCCCCUUGUUAUUGUCUGUCUUUUUUUUUUUUUUUUUUUUUUUUUUUGCUUUUUUGCUUUUUAGGACUGUGUCCACAGCAUAUGUAUGGAGGUUCCCAGGCUAGGGAUUGAAUUGGAGCUAGAGUAUCUGGCCUACACCCCAGCCACCGCAAUGCAGGAUCCGAGCCACGGCAACACUGGAUCUUUAACCCACUGAUCGAGGCCAGGGAUCGAACCCACAACCUCAUGGUUCCUAGUCAGAUUUGUUUCCACUGUGCCAAGGCAGGAACUCCAAUUGUCUGUCUUUUUGAUUCUAGUACCUUAGUAGGAAUGAAGUGCUACGUCAUGGGGGUUCUGUCAGCCCAUCAGACCCUCACCCCUUUUAUAUUAAGUAUUUUGUAACACUCUCCUCACUUCCUGAAUUCAGGUGCAGAGAUUACGUAACUUCUCUACAGAUACAAUUAAGGUAUAAUUAUGUGGAGUUCCCCCUGUAGUACAGUGGGUUAAUGGUCCAACUUGUCUCUGUGGCAUUGCCAGUUCAAUCCCUGGCCUGGCACAGUGGGUUAAGGAUCUGGGGCUGCAGCUGUGGCAGGUUGCAGAUGCGAGGAAGAUUCAACCCCUGGCCCGGGAAAUUCCAGGUGCUAUGGUUGCGGCCAAAAAAGGGGGGAAAUGUGUAAUUAUAUAUAUGUGUGUAUCUAUGCAGUUAUAGUUACAAUAGAGAGGAUAAUUAAAGAUAAUACAUUCUAAUGAAAUAAUACAUAAUUUAACAGGUGAGUACUUGGCUUCAACUACACUAAAUUACCAGAUGUUUGCUUUUUCUUCAGUUUAGAUUUAAGAUGGGUAACAUUUGAUAUGAUUCAACCUUUAUAUUUAAUGUUUUCAAAUGAGGGCAAAGAGGCAUCUUUGUAUGUAAUUCACAUUACUGUGGUAACAAAUCCUGGUGCAUUUACUGACAAUUCAGAAACUCUGAGCCAGGAGAUUCAGCUUUCCAACAUGUCAGAGAAUUCUUAGUAAAUUUAUGAAUAACUAUGAAAGCAAGCUUUUCCAGAUUCGCAUCAUUGUUAUAUUCCCAGAAAAUUUAGCAUAUCUUAAAGACAUACAGAAAUAACUUGUAUGUGAAACAAAACAAAGUCAGAUUCUUGGCUCAGAAAAUCAUGGGCAGAUCCUUCCCAGGUGGGCGAGCAGGCACAGGGCAGCCCUCCCUGCAGGAGCCUGGCAGCUCAGGGCACCCCCGUGAUGGUUCUUUGUGCUGAUCACAAAUGCUCAAUUCCACAUGUGUGGUGUAACUGUAACCACUGAGCUUGCUCAUAUAUCUCUUUUAUUGUUACCUCAACCUGACCAGAGUUAUUGACAUAUGUGCAGCAGGUGUUAUUAAUCAGUGCACAGACUCCCCCUUGCUCAGCCAGAGGAUUGUCAAGAGCUAGCCUAUUGCCAAGAACAUUUGUGAUGAGUCCAGAGAAAUAUGGGGUUCCUGUAAGGCAUCCCCCAUGUUUUUAGACAAGUCCUCAAGGAGCCAUGUGAGGUUUUGUACAGUGACUUCAUGGUAUGCAGAACCUCCCCGGGGGACACCCAGUCCAAGAGCAAUCCCUACUCAUACCAGAAUGAGUCUAUUGCCCUUUUAUUGUGCUUAAUGCCCUUUAAACUCAGGGCUGGGUGAUGUUAUGAACAGUUAUACCCAGGUUCCUAGAACUUAGCCAGCCUAGCUGCGUUGUACACAAACUGAGCGUCCGUCAUCUAAGCAAGGGUAGGCUAGACCCGACCCCCAGAGGAGUCAGGGUUGUUCUGAUGGGCCAAGUGGUUUACCCCUGGGCUCCAAAGGAACAAGUACCCAGAGGGAGCACAUGCCUACUGCACUUCUAAGGAGUUGAACCAUCUUCGUAAGAGACCAACCCAAGAGGGGGUGUCCUUGCAGUGUGAGGAGAGAGGCCCACCUGCAUGGGGGGGGCGGUCACUGGGGGCUUCCUGACUGGUGGAUUUUCCCCAAGCCUCAGGAGAGCCAUAUACUAAAUAUCAGACAACCAGCUUCAUCCCUUCCCAAUAAGUACAUCUCCCAUCUGGUCCCUGUGUGUAUCCAUAGAGUCAGUGCAGAGGGCACCGAUGGGUGAGAUUUCCAUAGGAGUCAAUCCUGGGACACAAAAAUUGUGAGGUCAUGGAAGAAGCAUGCUCAGAGUCCAGAGAAGCUCCAGGAUGUUAUUACAGGUUUCUCACCUUGGUAGGAGCUUUUGAAGAGCAGUGGCAGUGAGAUGGGUCAGAGAGAUGGCACUUCAGUGAGUGUUUUGUCUUCAUUGGAGAUAUUAAUGCAAGGGGUGAGGUCCAAUCAGGGAAGCCACAUUAGGGAUGGGACAUGAACUUCAAAAGGGGUAAGUUUAGCAGACCUGUGAGCCACGGUGAGAGAGAGUGAGGUUGUCAUUCUUAGGGGUAAAAUGUAAUACCUUUAGUCUAAAGGCAACACUGUGUGGGUCGGGGUGAUGGACCAGCGCUGGGAUAGAUUUUGUCCAUGGGCUAUAAUCCUGGAGAAAUUUACGAUUGUACUAAAUUCCUAUUCUGCAUGGACAGCUGUAAGAGACAGAGAGGAGAAGAUAAGAAAGAAUAGACAAGAAUGGCUACUCACCCUACUUCCAACAUUCACAUCCAACAUGGACAGAUGAGAUGUUUGGCAGAAUGGCAGAAAACAAGUAAGACAACAGCAACAAGGCCAACUACUAAGCCAAUCCCUACAUUACUUAUCUGUUGGGAAGUUCAUCCUUUUGAGAAGCAACUUAAGGUCUGUGACAGGUUCACAAAUGUAUUGAGUGGGUGGCUCAGUAAUUUCAUCCUCAGGCAUAGAUGCUGCCUUCACUCUGGUAUGGUGGGACCAUGGAGUUGUGCACCGUAAUUUUAGGGCAGAACAAAUGGUCAGGAUGAGUAGAUAAGGUCCUGUCCAUUUGGAAUCUAACUGGUCUUGUGGAUUUCCAGCCUUCCAGGUUUUCAAAUAAACCCACUUCCCACAGGGAGAAAGAUGUACAACCAUGUCAGAAGGGAAGGAUGUUCAGAUUGCUGUAUGGUGUAAAGCUGUGAUUAUUUUCCCCUCUCUGUAAGGCAUAUUCUCUUGGUCCACAUCCCUAAGGUUGGUCUUGGAGCUGGGUCCUUCAGGAAUGUGCCUCUUGUACAUGGGCUCAUAUGGACUCGACAUGAUCUUUCUUUUAGGGACUAUUCACAUUUUCACAAAUGUUGUGGGGAGAAAGGGGGUCAGGGUUGAUGAGUGUCUUGACAUAGCUUGGCUAAGUUUCUUUGGUAGGUUUGAUUUGUUCUACUAUUCCUGAGGAUUGUGGUUUCCAAGUGGGGUGUAAACCCAAUUUAAUUCCCAGAGCACUAAAGACUCCCUUAGUAACUUGGGAACAAAGGUGGGCCCACUGUCCUCUGGAUGGACUUGGGGAGCCCAAUCGAAGGGAUUAUUCUCUGGAGCAGGGCCUUAGAGGCUCCAAGGCAGUCUUGGUUCAGGUGGGAAGUACUUCCAUCCAGGUGUCAAAACCAGCAAAUAUCUAAGAUUUCCUUGUGCCCAGAACAUUGCUGUAAAGUCAGUUUGCCACUUGUGACCUGGAUAUAUGCCUCUAUGCCGGGUGGGGAUCACUCCAAUGACUUUGGGGUGGGUGAGAAUUGGGCUUAUUCUGAAGGCAGAUAGGUUGAGCUGCAACCACCUGUGGAAGGAGACUAGGGAAACUGGGGGCAGCCAUGGCUUUAUGAGCCAUUUCUAUAGGCCCCCCUACCCAUAAUGUGUCCUCUGGUGGGUUUCCUGAAUGGUACAGAGCAAGAGUUGAUGGAAGGAACAGCUGCCCAUGGCCAUUAUCCAUCCACCUUGGGUAUUCUGGUCUUUAAAAAUAGCCCCAUCUCAAAGCUUUUCCCCUCUCUGCUGGGGUGUAGGUGGGAGUGCAUGAGUUAGGGUCUGGGAGAGCUGGUAGAAGUGUCAUUUGAAGUCUGUCCCCAUCCUCUACUGCUUAUUUAGCUGUCAUGUCUGCUCUGUUAUUUCCUCUUACAAUUCCUACUUCUUUUUGAGGACCUAUGCAGUGAAUAACCCCUACCUCCUUUGGCAGGAGUAUAGCCUCCAGCAACACAUAAUCCCCUACCCAUCCCCCCAAUUCUUAAUCUGUUUAUUCCCUGAGGUCAGCAUUCCUCUCCCCUCCAGAUAACCCCAGGGGCAUGUAGGAUUGAACAGGCAUAGUUAGAGUCAAUAUAGAUAUUGACAACUUGCCCUUCUGGGCAGAACAGCUAGAGGACAAAGAUUUAGCAGUUUGGUCUAGUGCAUUAAAAAAAAAAAA
rnacentral:lncRNA from 1 species